CAAACUGUCAUCCUUGAUGCUGGAGAAGAACACCGGAGUUGCUAUUCUAGUUCUGAUGCAAUUCAUCCCUGUCUCGGAUCACCGUUGUCUUCUGUUCUGCUUCUGCUUCUAGUUGCGCCGGGUUGAACCAUUGUAACUAUAGAGCCGUGUUUGAUGGUGUUGUUGCGGAGAGUUUUCAGUGUAGCUAAUGCCACUGCCAUUGUUUCAUUCUCUUAGUACAGGUCAAGUUUUGUUGUGAAUGGUGCUUUUUCGGCUAUACGGCUGCGGGAAAUAGUCGGAGUCAAUGCUGUUCGAUUUUGGAAUGAGGAAAAAGGAAUUCUCUGACGCGUUUGGUUAGUGGUUUCGCGAGGUAGGGGCGUUUUCAUUAAACUCAUUUUUAUUCUUAAGAGUUGUUAUAAAUUGAUAUUUAAGCAAAUAAAUAUUUUUAGUGAUUAUGGAGUCUUAUGAAUUGAACUGAAUUGCCUUAAAUGAAUGUGAUUGCUUACUUGACUGUGGCUAUUUCUGAAUAUUGAGUUGGUAUUGAGAUAGUGAGUGGAAGAUUAAUUUGAAAAUCUGAUUUGAAUGUUUAUCAAGUAUAAUUUGAGAAUUGGAAAAUGAUUUGAUGUUAGAGUUAAUUUGGGUUUGGAAAAUGGCUUGAGA